rnacentral:rRNA from 1 species
UCCAGACUCCUACGGGAGGCAGCAGUAGGGAAUAUUGCUCAAUGGGGGAAACCCUGAAGCAGCAACGCCGCGUGGAGGAUGAAGGUUUUCGGAUUGUAAACUCCUUUUGUUAGAGAAGAUAAUGACGGUAUCUAACGAAUAAGCACCGGCUAACUCCGUGCCAGCAGCCGCGGUAAUACGGAGGAUGCGAGCGUUAUCCGGAUUUAUUGGGUUUAAAGGGUGCGCAGGCGGCACGGCAAGCCGGCGGUCAAAUCGCGGGGCUCAACCCCGCCCAGCCGUCGGAACUGCCGGGCUAGAGUGGGCGAGAAGUGCGCGGAAUGCGUGGUGUAGCGGUGAAAUGCAUAGAUAUCACGCAGAACUCCGAUUGCGAAGGCAGCGCACCGGCGCCCUACUGACGCUCAGGCACGAAAGCGUGGGUAUCGAACAGGAUUAGAUACCCCCGUA